AACAAAGUAAGACACAAUAUAUUUGGAACAUAGCUGUGCACGAACGUAAUAAAUAACGUGGAUCAAACGAGGGAGAAUCGUUUUCAGUAAAAAACAUUGAAUUAGUGUACACAAUGAGCUUGAAAUGGACAUUAUUGCCUAUGCUUACUUCAAAUAAAUCUCUACAGUGAUUUGUAUUCAACAAUUUUUAAUUUAAGUUAACAAACAAACAAACAAAAAUGAUGUACACAUUGGACGAUACACCUAGUUCACAAGAUGGAAUUUCAGAUGGGGUCUUUUUUGAUUCGGUCGUCUACAUUGGUAGCUCAAAUGACACAAAUUCGACUGUCUCGUCAAGCGAUGAAAUUAACAGUCUUCGCUAUCCAAUGACAAUUACAAUCAUUCUCAUUAUAGCUUACAGUACAAUUAGCAUUGUUGGAAUAAUAGGCAAUGUGGCCGUUUUCAUCGUCGUCACCAAAUCGCCACAAAUGAGGACCUUGACAAACAAACUAAUUAGAAAUUUGGCAAUUGCAGACUUACUUGUGAACGUUGUAUGCGUUCCUUUCA